CGCAGUUUGGCGUGAGUUGCUAUGGUCACCGGAUGCUUUAGAGCCUUCUAGAAAGCCGUGGGCUCAAAUCUGGCGGGAUUGGAAGUUACAAAGACUCUGAUGGGGCCGUCCUGGUGGUGCAGUGGUUAAGUUCACACGUUCCGCUUUGGCAACCCAGGCUUCGCCAGUUUGGAUCCUGGGCGGACAUGGCACCACUUGGCAAGCCAUGCUAUGAGGAAGAGCCACCAGGGAUUUGUGAGCACAGAAGAAAGGCCGUGCGAGGCAGCUGUCUGCAACCCAAAGAGAGAGGCCUCAGGAGAAAGCAAACCUGCCAGCGCCUUGAUCUUGGACUUCCAGCCUCCAGAACUGUGAUCUCAUGGCAUCUCUAGCCCAGACCUCUCCUGAGCUCCAGGUACAUCUAUCCACCUACCUCCUGGACAGAUAUCUCAAAACUCACCUGGCUUUGGGAAGAUGAAAAAGUUCUGGUGGAGGAUGGUUGUGAUGGCUGCACAACAAUGUGAAUGUAUUUAAUGCCACUGAACUAUACACUA